CAAAAAUAAUUUCAGUUCCAUUUCUGGAAACCGAACUCUCUCUCUCUUGCGCGCGUCCGAGCCCAGAAAAAACAGAGCAAAGCUCUCCGGCCGAGUUCUCCCUCCUCCGGCCACCAAUCGACACCAGACCACCUCCCUUGCCUUCGCCUCGACGCCGCCUACCUGCUAGACGUGAUCACUUCCACCGGAACGGCCUCAAAUCCGGCAGUCGGAGCCGCAAACUUUGAAACAAAAAUCGGUCAACGCCGGUUUUCUCCUAGCUCCGGCCACCAAAACUCACGAUCCUUAGCUCCCUGAACUCGCCUCAACCUUCUGAUCAUCAUUCUAGAAGGAUCGCACCUGGAGUGAUCGGAUUCACGUUCGUCGGAGCUCGCCGGAUUCUGGAAAUUUUCCACCACCACCGAAGCUUUUGAUAGAAGGAAUCGAAGCCUGAAAUUGAAGUUUUGACGUCCAAAUCAAGCCUUGCCGGAUUCUGCAAAAUUCUGGAAUUUUUCCGACCACCGAAGCUUUCGAUCGGUAUAUCUCGAGCUACAGACCAUAUUUUUCUGUGAUUCUUGAACCAGUGAGUUCUUCUUGAGUUUCUUAACAACUCUUCAGAAGGAAUCGAAGCCUUAAAUUGACGUUUUUACGUCGAAUUGGAGCUCGCCGUUUUCUGCAGUUUCUCGCCGGUUUCUGGAAAAUUCCGGCCACCUUCAUACUGUUCAAGGUGAUCGACGGUUUGAUUUGGCGGACGAUUCGUGAAAUUGUAUUUUGAGCUGUUAAGAAGACGCAACGGGAAUUUAGAGCGGGUAAUCCUACAGGUCAGGAGAACCAGGACGGUGAUCGGGCUGCUUAGAGUAGUGUUAUGUGAAUUACAACAUUAUAUUGUGAGGUUUGUUAUGCUCAUUUAGAGCUUUACGAUUUUACUUUGUAAGAGUGAAUUGUAAUAAUUAACUCGAGGUUUUCGAGUUUUGUGUUGAGUGGCGAGUGGUGUGUUUGUUUCUGAGAAAAAAAAAUUCAGAACGUUAUUUGUAUUAAUUGUUUAUUCAUGUUUCGGAUUUGAAUUUAUUAUUCAAAAUUCGGGGCGUGACAGAUAAGAACCAUGAACUAAUUUUACUAACCUUGAAGAUAAUGUUGCAUCAGAAACAACCAAAUAUGAUAAUUGGUUUCAUCGAGUCGAACGGAAACAGCAGUGCAGGCUUGAUUUGGAAACGACAUUGAUGAAAAACUUGAAGAUUGAAUCUUGAGAAAGAGUUGCUACUAAAAACUUGUAUGAACAAAUCUUCAAGACGAAACUUGAAUCUUGGAAAGGAGCUGCUAGAGAUGAAGAUAAGGAAGACGAAAACAAGCUGGUAUUGAUAUUGGUUUUUCUUAUGGCAAUUGUAAAAUUGCUGAUCUAGAUUGAAUGGAAACUAUGGCUCUUAUACUAAAUACCUGCUAGCUGCCACUGAUUUCAAACUCUCCAAAUGCUUGAUACGUGGUCUUCAU